rnacentral:lncRNA from 12 species
GCGGAAUGUGCGCAGACGGCUCUGCUGGGCCCAGCCCGGAAAGCAGCUUCUGGUCUCAGGAUGGCCUGCGGGCCGCCUGACCGGAGGGUACGGGUCUACAGCUGGAAAACAUGGAGUUUGAGGGGUGCUUACACACACUUUUGGACUGCGUCUGUGUCCAUUCAACGCGUGCUUUGGAAGUUCCGCUUUUCUAGAUGAAGCUAUUGAAGGAAACCUGCUUUCAUGUUCUCCCGAGGUACCGGUGUGAAGUGCAGGGAUGCCAUGGGGCAGGAGGAGGGCCUGGUCCUGGAUGACCCCGGGCUGUGGGGCAGGGGGUAGUCCUGGGCCUGUGAACGCCAACCAGGAUGGGCUCUAGCCCCAGGGUGGACCCGCAGCUCCGGCUUGCCGCCUGCUCCGGAGGCAGAGCGGCCUGCGGCGUCCAUGCGGACAGGCUCCUCGGCGAUGUGACCUGUUUCGCAGCCACGUGUCAGCGCAAGAGGAGGCCCGGCUGUCUGUGGAUGUGAACAACCAGAGGCAGGCGAGUUGGGAGUCAGACACCUGCCCUCCCACCUGCUGUGGACAGUGACCCCCAAGUCCUCAUGCAAGUGUCUGGCAGGGAGACGGGGUGGACAUUGUGAUACCGACAUCUCAUCAUGGACCUCCAUGUGAUAUGAGAGAGAGAGAGAUUUGGGGAGCAAUCCCAAUGUGCCCUUGCAGGAAGAUCCAUGAGGGUGUCCCUGUGCGGGUCAGCGCUGCAUAGUGAAAAGAAUGACACAACCUCGCCUCUCAGAGCACCAUUCUCAGCACCUAGCCUGGGAUGCACCGCAGCCCACCUGCCGAGGUAAAAGCGUGUGGCCUCACCGCUGGCCAGAAGCAGCCCCCACUUCCCCAGGGCAGCAGGGUGAGGGCCAGGUCGGUACAGGUGCAGGGCAGAGAUCCUGGACCUCGGGGAGGAUAGACUUUUCAGGCUCCAGGUCCAAGGGCAGGCCGCAAUCGUCGGGGCUGCAGGUGCAGGGCACAUGAUGGCGAUGGGCAGAGAGGGGUCAGCGUGGACUUUUUCACACUUAGGAUUCGGAGCAGAGACUCUCGAGCCCAGUCCCCAGGGCCUUUCGUCCUACCGUACUUGCUUACAGGGUGGUUUCCCAGAGGAAGAAGACAACCUGGAGGCUGCAUGCCAGCCCAGAGGGAACAGGUGGCCCACAUUGCCUGCCCUCCAGCCCCCGGCUCUUCACUCCUUCAGGUGCUCGUGGGUGCCCACCGACAGCCCACUGGGAGCAGCUGGUGUGGACACCCUGAGGCAGGAGGCAGCAGAGAAGAUGUCAGCUAGGCAGAAAGGACACCCCCAAUGCCACCCCUGUGCCAGGAGAGCAGCCCAUCCACCGAGGGUCCUCCCAAGACCGCCGCCCGGCCAAUCCCAGCCAG